rnacentral:rRNA from 1 species
AUUGAACGCUGGCGGCAGGCCUAACACAUGCAAGUCGAACGAGUGGCGGACGGGUUAGUAAUGUCUGGGAAACUGCCUGAUGGAGGGGGAUACCUACUGGAAACGGUAGCUAAUACCGCCUACCAUGAGAUGUGCCCAUGUGGGCUGAGCUCGUAGGGGGGGGAACGGCUCACCUAGGCGACGAUCCCUCGCUGGUCUGAGAGGAUGACCAGCCACAAUGGAACUGAGACACGGGCCAGACUCCUAAGGGAGGCAGCAGUGGGGAAUAUUGCACAAUGGGCGGAAGCCUGAUGCAGCCAUGCCGCGUGUAUGAAGAAGGCCUUCGGGUUGUAAAGUACUUUCAGCGGGGAGGCGUUACCCGCAGAAGAAGCAACGGCUAACUCCGUGCCAGCAGCCGCGGUAAUUC